AGAAUUUUUUUUGAUGCUGACCUCUCAGCAAUUCUCAAUGUUGAGUGGCACAAAAGGGACAGCUCCGAACCCAAAAUAUAGCCAGUUUGCUGCAGUGACAGCCAUCCAACGUUGUCUUCCUUUCACAGACUUGAAGAAGACAAAGAUGAUUCUUCUACCAGUUCUACAUCAGCACCAUUGGUCUGUUUAUUGCGUUAACUUUGGCCAAUCACGGAUUGAUGUGCUUGACUCAUUUUUGUACACCCCUGAGUCUGAC